rnacentral:rRNA from 1 species
GGCUCAGGAUGAACGCUGGCGGCGUGCCUAAUACAUGCAAGUCGAGCGAACAGACGAGGAGCUUGCUCCUCUGACGUUAGCGGCGGACGGGUGAGUAACACGUGGAUAACCUACCUAUAAGACUGGGAUAACUUCGGGAAACCGGAGCUAAUACCGGAUAAUAUAUUGAACCGCAUGGUUCAAUAGUGAAAGACGGUUUUGCUGUCACUUAUAGAUGGAUCCGCGCCGCAUUAGCUAGUUGGUAAGGUAACGGCUUACCAAGGCAACGAUGCGUAGCCGACCUGAGAGGGUGAUCGGCCACACUGGAACUGAGACACGGUCCAGACUCCUACGGGAGGCAGCAGUAGGGAAUCUUCCGCAAUGGGCGAAAGCCUGACGGAGCAACGCCGCGUGAGUGAUGAAGGUCUUCGGAUCGUAAAACUCUGUUAUUAGGGAAGAACAAAUGUGUAAGUAACUAUGC